ensembl:misc_RNA Metazoa_SRP Metazoan signal recognition particle RNA
GCCGGGUGUGGUGGCGCACGCCUGUAGUCCCAGCUACCUGGGAGGCUGAGGCAGGAGAAUCACUUGAACCCAGGAAGCGGACAUUGCAGUGGGCCGAGAUCACGCCACUGCACUCCAGCCUGGGUAACAGAGUGAGACUUUGUCUCAA